AGGAUUAACGCUGGCGGCGUGCCUAACACAUGCAAGUCGGACGAGGUAGCAAUACCUAGUGGCAGACGGGUGAGUAACGCGUGGUCAACCUACCGUUGAGCGGGGGAUAACUAGCCGAAAGGUUAGCUAAUACCGCAUACGUCUAGCACGGCAUCGUGCAAAGAUAAAAGCCGCAAGGCACUCGACGACGGGACCGCGUCCCAUUAGUUAGUUGGUGGGGUAAUGGCCUACCAAGACUCCGAUGGGUAGCUGGUUUGAGAGAGCGACCAGCCACACUGGGACUGAGAAACGGCCCAGACUCCUACGGGAGGCAGCAGUGAGGAAUUUUCCGCAAUGGGCGAAAGCCUGACGGAGCGACGCCGCGUGUGGGAAGAAGGGCCUUCGGGUCGUAAACCGACUGUCGAAGGGGAAGAUAUUGACGGUACCCUUGGAGGAAGCCCCGGCUAACUACGUGCCAGCAGCCGC
rnacentral:rRNA from 1 species